AUUGAACGCUGGCGGCAUGCUUUACACAUGCAAGUCGAACGGUAACAGGGAGCUUGCUCCGCUGACGAGUGGCGAACGGGUGAGUAAUGCAUCGGAACGUGCCUAUUUGUGGGGGGAUAACGUAGCGAAAGUUACGCUAAUACCGCAUACGCCCUGAGGGGGAAAGCGGGGGAUUCGUAAGAACCUCGCGCGAUUAGAGCGGCCGAUGCCUGAUUAGCUUGUUGGUGGGGUAAAAGCCCACCAAGGCGACGAUCAGUAGCUGGUCUGAGAGGACGAUCAGCCACACUGGGACUGAGACACGGCCCAGACUCCUACGGGAGGCAGCAGUGGGGAAUUUUGGACAAUGGGCGAAAGCCUGAUCCAGCCAUGCCGCGUGAGUGAAGAAGGCC
rnacentral:rRNA from 1 species